UCCACAAGCUGGUGGAGCAGGAGCUGGCACACGCUGUCAACGCCAGCGCCACGGUGCUGACCAAGGCCAAGCUGUCCAGCCCUGAGUUUUGGAGUCGCAGCACAGCCGUGGAAAUUGUCAACAGCAGCAAAGUUCUCCAGGCAGAGACAACCAUGCUUCUGGAUGGAAAACAUCUGUCCGAGUUCCCUGAGGAAGAUGGGCUCCGCUUCACCCUGAACAGCCUGAGUGCUGAGCUCCACAAACUGGAUGACAUCCACCGGAUCUGUCCACUCACGCACUGUGCCGAGGAGGAACACGGGAUGUCAAGUGUACGACUCCUGAAGCAGAAUCGCCAGGCAACCGACGAUCUUUUCCGGCCCCUAACCUUGACCGCCGCG